rnacentral:rRNA from 1 species
GACAGAGGGUGCAAACGUUGCUCGGAAUUACUGGGCGUAAAGCGCGUGUAGGCGGUGCCGCACGUCCGAUGUGAAAGCCCGGGGCUCAACCCCGGACGUGCAUUGGAUACGACGGCGCUGGAGUCCUGAAGAGGAGGGCGGAAUUCCCGGUGUAGAGGUGAAAUUCGUAGAUAUUGGGAGGAACACCAGUGGCGAAGGCGGCUACCUGGACCGGUUCUGACGCUGAGGCGCGAAAGCGUGGGUAGCAAACAGG